ensembl:snoRNA
CAGCCUCAAAAGUUUCUUUUGUAGAUCCAUUACCAUCAAACUGUCAAAACUCAAAGAUAUUUAGAAAAAACUGGCAGUGGUAAAGCCAUGUUAUGAAAUGUAAGGACACUAAUGUCAUUAAGGUCCCUGAAAAUUAGUAUAAUA